UAGGCAUUGUACUGCAAGAGUAGCUGCUUUUAGUGCAUCUUUCAAUGAAUACUGGCCUUCAAGUCGGGCAUCCAUAACUUGGAAAAUUUUGCGUUUGCUGCCAAGAUAAGGCCUUGCCCAGUCAACUAAAUUUUCUUCCCUGGAUGGUUUGCUUUUGUCUAUAGCUCGCCUGCCGGAUAAAAUUUCAAGAAGUACAACCCCGAAACUAUAUAUGUCACUCUUCUUAGUUAGAUGACCUGUGGCCAUAUACUCGGGUGCUGCAUACCCAUAGGUACCCAUUACUCGGGU
rnacentral:misc_RNA from 1 species